rnacentral:rRNA from 1 species
AACGUAGGUCACAAGCGUUGUCCGGAAUUACUGGGUGUAAAGGGAGCGCAGGCGGGAGAACAAGUUGGAAGUGAAAUCCAUGGGCUCAACCCAUGAACUGCUUUCAAAACUGUUUUUCUUGAGUAGUGCAGAGGUAGGCGGAAUUCCCGGUGUAGCGGUGGAAUGCGUAGAUAUCGGGAGGAACACCAGUGGCGAAGGCGGCCUACUGGGCACCAACUGACACUGAGGCUCGAAAGUGUGGGUAGCAAACAGG